rnacentral:rRNA from 1 species
GGUGAUUAACACGUGAGCGACCUGCCCUGCGACUCUGGGUAUAACCGCUGGAAACGGCUGCUAUUACUGGAUAUGAGCUCUCAUCUCAUGGAGGGGGUUGGAAAGAUUUUUCUGUCUGGUGAUGGGCUCGUUGUCUAUAUUCUUGCUGGCUGACGUAAUGGCUCACCAUUGCGAUCGACGGGUUAGCCGGUCUGAGAGGGUGACCGGCCACACUGGGACUGAAACUCAGCCCAUACUCCUACUGGACGCAGCAGAGGGGAAUAUUGUACCAUGGGCGGAAGCCUGAUGCAGCUACGCCGCUUGAAGGAUGACUGCCUUCGGGUUGUAAACCUCUCUUUAGCAGGGAAGAAGCGAGAGUGACGAUACCUGCACAAAAAGCGCCGGCUAACUACGUGACCAGUCAGCCGCUGUAAUACGUAUGGCGCAAGCGUUAUCCGGAAUUAUUGGGUCGUAAAGAGCUCGUAGGCGUGUUUGUCGCGUCUGCUGUGAAAUCCCGAGGCUCAACCUCUGGCCUGCAGUGGGUACCGUCAGACUAUACUGCGGUAGGGGAGAUUGUAAUUCCUGGUGUACCGGUGGAAUGCGCAGAUAUCAUGACGAACACUAAUGGCCAACGCAUAUCUCUGGGACUAAACUGACACUGAGGACCGAUAGGUCGGCGAGCUAACACGCUUAGAUACCCUGGAAGUCCACCACAUCUGCCUUCGCAACUAGUGGUGCUGAUGAUAUCACCGCAUCCGACACCUACCUCACGCAUUAAGAUCUCCGCCUGCGGACUAUAGUCUGCACGUNNCACUCAAGGACUAGGCUGAGACUCGCAAUUCGCAGCAGACUG